rnacentral:lncRNA from 1 species
GCAUUGAUAUUUGUCAAUAGCACAUGGCGUUGGGUCCCCAAACCUUCCUCUAUGUCCACUGUUGAGUGGCUUGAGAACCCCUGUCAAAAGUUCUACCUGUAUCGGUCUGCCUGUAUCAUACAGUUCAUACUCUUCUCUCUUUCUGUCGGGAGAGAGAUGCAAGCUACUUCAUAUCUUCCCUUUUGUUUGAUUCUCCUUGUGGUUUUGGUUCUUUUUCCAUGUUCAUGGUACCCUCUAGCCACACAACAGUACGUUGGCUGUUCUCUAACCACACCCUGGUGCGGUUCCCGGAACAGAAAAUACUCGAUCUUAGAGACCCAGAACCCCAAAUCCAUAGCUCACUCGGCUGAGACCACUCAUCACCCACUAGACCCACUUAGCAUACAAGAAAUCAACAAGGUCUUAGCCUGAAAAUGAGUUUAGAGAAUACUUAGUUUCAAGGAAGAAGAUGAAGAAGGCAAUCCACAAGUCCUUGCGGGAUUUGACGAGCAAGUGUGACUUCUCUACCUAGACAAAGAACGUGAAACUGUGGGUUUAGAAGGCUUAUUAAGAGAGUUAGAAGAGCCACCCUCACAGUGUUUGAAUACUUGUUGGCAUUUAUUUCUGGGCCAAAGGUGCAUCCAAAGACAAAGGGAUGGUCUUUAGUAUCCAGAUUGAUGCACUCCAAGCAUAUUGCAUCUGAGGAAGAAGCAGAAUCAAAAGGUAUAUAGGUGCUGCAUUCAACCCCAACAUCAGCCAAAAGAGAACCAACUCUCUCUUUUGCGUUGAGAAUUCAAGACUUUGAUGGAAGACUAAAAGCCUGUUUGGGCAUCUUAUUAAAACCAGAAUGUCCCUUGUCAACAUCCUCAACCACUAGUUUAAAAGCCUCACACUGAUAAGCCAUAGACAACCAAAAUGUUUGUCAGGAUACAUACAUACUUGUACAUGAAGGAGAAAUACUUUAUACUUUUUCCAUAUAAAUAUACUCUUUGUGCCCAAAUCAACACUGUACUCCUCUUUUCCUUUCCUUCACCAAAGCAUUCUUUGCACAGAUAUUGAUACUUCUGUCAUAUAUGAUGCAGAAUCAUACCUAUGAAGAGAGAUCAAAUCAAACAUAAUUGGUCUUGUAGAAGGUAAACUGAAGUUGUCCAUACAUUUUCCAGAAGGCACUAGUGGAGUGUGAAGGUAAACUGACUUCUCUGCAUUUUGAUACUCCAUAAAAAAUGAAGUGCCUUUGGCUUUAAGCUCCUACCAUUUUUUUUGUACCUGAAGGAAGUUACAUUCCAUUCCAUUUGAUUCUAAUAAUCAAAUUCCCAAGCAGAUGACUCAAAUGCAAGAUCCAUGAAUGUAAUAACAAACCAAUUGUUUGAUAACCCAGUUCUGGUUUGUAAUAGCAAGCACAGUUGAGACCUGGAACAGAAGGAAAAAUCCCCAUCAAAUUUAGUACUGACAUGAGCUUCUAAUCUUGGAUGUCCAGAAUUAUACAAGAAAACCAUCCAGUACUGUGAUCAUAAUCAUCAACCCUUCUGAUGAAAUUCUUGGCCAAAUAAUUAACAAUCAAAUUUUAUUUGGCUAUUGAAUUAUGAGUGUGUUGGUGUAGAUGGUUAAUAAACUGAUUUGUUGGAUGAUACUGCUAAAAUUACAUUAUAAUGCUGAUUGUUUAUGCUUUAAUUUUCAGGAUAGUGUAUCAGAAGCAGUGAAGAUCCUGAAGAAAGAGAUUACUU